ACCCUUCCACUUUAUUCUAAUUUUUUUUCGCUCGUACACAAAACACAUAAAACGCCGCUCAUCUCACUCCCUCGCCCACUCCGAUGGCGUCGGAGUCGCCCCCGGCGAUCUCCGAAACCCUAACCCUAACCCCGUCUCGGGACCCGCGCCACCGCCUCCGCCGCCGCCGGGCCAAGCCCGGCCCCCGCAGGGGGAGCGGCGCCGCCACUCCUCUCCGCGUGUGGAGAUUGGACGGCUCCGAUCGAUCCGCGAAGGGAGGAGGAGGGGGGGACGCCGCGAAGGGAGGAGGAGGGGGGGACGCCGCGUCGGCGAGGAGGGUCGCCGCCGCGCUGUGGCGGAUGCGGCCGCCGAGGGUUGGCGGAGGAGGGGAGGAGAGGAGAGCUGAAUUAGGGUUUGAGGUUAAUUCCAGGCAUCUACAAUCACCUUGUCCUUGUUGUCGCGACGCAAUAAUCCUUCAUAAUAAGCCAAGGAAUGGCCGAGCUAUCGCCAUCUUGUCACAUUUCUCGAAUAAUGGUGGCUUAAAGAAGGUAGAAACUUGUGCUGCGUGUAAUGCAUCGGAGAUUGCGACUAAAUUUGCAUCGGUUGCGAUUGUUUCUUGCCUCCAACAAGAGCUCAAGUUUGCUCAUAGACGGAUUAACGAGCUCGAGUUUGACAGACGGUCUGUAAAUGAAAAGGUCGACUGCAUGUUGCAGAAGUUUGAAGAGGAGAAGGCCUCUUGGCGAAGGAGAGAGCACGAGAAAAUUCAAAAUAUUAUCGCGUCCAUCAAGAACGAUCUUAGUGGGGAGAGGAAAAACCGACAAAGGAUGGAAGUUGUGAAUGCUAAAUUGGCUGCUGAGCUGAACGAGGCUAACUUACGAGCAAAGCAGAACUUGCGAGACUACGAGAGGGAAAAAGGGGCCCGCGAGCUGGCGGAGGAUGCGUGCGAUGAACUGGUGAAGGAGAUUGGUGAAGACAAGUCCGAGAUUGAAGCUUUAAAACGAGAAUCGGUGAAAAUAAGAGAAGGGGUCGAAGAGGAGAGGAGGAUGUUGCAGAUGGCAGAAGUUUGGCGCGAGGAGAGGGUGAAGAUGAAGUUGAUAGAUGCGAAUCUGACUCUACAUAACAAAUAUUCCGAAUUGAAUAAGCUAAAAGCUGAUCUUCAGGCUUUUCUACAAGUGCAAGCUGCUAAAGUCACAGAUCUGGAACCAGUGAAAGAGGCCCAUAUGCUUAAAGAUGCAGUCGAGUUGAUUAAUGUUCCCGACAUGAGGGAGUUCUCUUACCAACCUCCAAAUUCGAAGGACAUUUUCUCUAUCUUCCAGGAACUUAUUGAAGAAACCAGUGAAGAAGAGAUUAGCCAAGUUUCCGAAUGUAGCCUUGCGAGCCAUGACUCCAAGAUCCACCCAGUGAGCGCUGAGACAGAGAAGUUAGAGGAACCGAUAAGCGGAUGUACUAAUGAGGGGGCAGACACGAUUGGAGAUACUGAAGAUGAUGAUGGGUGGGUAAGUGUGAACAAAGUCGAAGAGCAGGGUUCGAGUAAUUCCCUGGAAGGGAGUGAGGUAUUGGCAAAUGGUCUCCACGAACACACUAAUGCGUUGGUUAGUGGAACAGAUUGGGAUGACGACAAAGAGAAUGACAAAAUAUUUUGUUCGAGUACUAAUAAUCGACAGUCAAAUAAGAAAGGAUCUUCUUCAGUUGAUGGCGAGAAUCUCAAGAAUCGAAGACUACCAAACGAUGAAGUAAACUCCGACACAAUUGGAUCAAGCCCAAGUAAUCUAGGGCAGUUGAGCUCGCUCAAGUUGCUGAACCCUCAUGUUACUAGGGGAAUGAAGGGGUUCGUCGAGUGGACACGAGGUAUGCAGAGGCUCAGGUUAAGGUCGAAGCUUAUAGAGGCAAGCAUUAACAGCCAGAAGAUUCAGCUGCCCCACACUACUAAACAGAAGACGUAGUAAGACCAUCGAAGGCGAAAAUUAUAUUCACUCUUAAUCAUUUCCACGGGUUGCAGAUUAAUCAGAGAAAAUCAAGACAAUGUGUCUCAUAAUUUCUUCAAUCCAAGUUCCUAUCCUCUAUGAUUGGUGGGAAGUUUGCGAUUCAUCGAAUAUCGUCGAACAGAUGCUCGCGGAGGUAACUCGCGACGUCGGUACCAGAAUGGCCGUCGAAGAUGGCGAACAAGCCGACCUCGUUGUCAUCCAACCUCUUAAACUCGGCAACAUGGUAAUCCUCCAUUGAAUGGCGCGUCUUUCCCUCUACCAAGUGGUAGCCAUAUGUGAUCUUUCUUCUUGAUGAUCUACUCUUUCCUUUCCCACUAUCACACACUUGUGCAUCAACAGGAGCUCCAACCUAUUGAAGGAAACUAAUUUUAGCAAUAUAUAGACUCUUGCUCAUCUUUAA